rnacentral:tRNA from 2 species
GGCGAGUUGGCGGAGUGGUGACGCAGCGGAUUGCAAAUCCGUGUAGACCGGUUCGAUUCCGGUACUCGCCUCCA